rnacentral:rRNA from 1 species
UACAGAGGGGGGCAAGCGUUGUUCGGAAUUACUGGGCGUAAAGGGCUCGUAGGCGGCCAACUAAGUCGGAUGUGAAAUCCCCAGGCUCAACCUGGGAACUGCAUCCGAUACUGGAUGGCUUGAAUCCGGGAGAGGGAUGCAGAAUUCCAGGUGUAGCGGUGAAAUGCGUAGAUAUCUGGAGGAAUACCGGUGGCGAAGGCGGCAUCCUGGACCGGCAUUGACGCUGAGGAGCGAAAGCUAGGGGAGCAAACGGGG